rnacentral:lncRNA from 1 species
GAGCUUAAAUGGCAGUGCCAAAGACGAGAAAAGUCUUGAGCAGAAAACACUAGAAGAGAAUAAUGAUAAGCCAAAGAAGAGCUUAAAUGGCAGUGCCAAAGAAGAGAAAAGUCUUGGACAGAAAACACCAGAAGAGAACAAUGAUAAGCCAAAGAAGAGCUUAAAUGGCGGUGUCAAAGAAGAGAAAGAUCUUGGACAGAAAACACAAGAAGAGAAUAAUGAUAAGCCAAAGAAGAGCUUAAAUGGCGGUGUCAAAGAAGAGAAAGAUCUUGGACAAAAAACACAAGAGAAUAAUGAUAAGCC